CAGCCGCCGCGGGAAUACGGAGGGUGCAAGCGUUAUCCGGAUUUAUUGGGUUUAAAGGGUCCGUAGGCGGAUCUGUAAGUCAGUGGUGAAAUCUCACAGCUUAACUGUGAAACUGCCAUUGAUACUGCAGGUCUUGAGUAAAUUUGAAGUGGCUGGAAUAAGUAGUGUAGCGGUGAAAUGCAUAGAUAUUACUUAGAACACCAAUUGCGAAGGCAGGUCACUAAGAUUUAACUGACGCUGAUGGACGAAAGCGUGGGGAGCGAACAGGAUUAGAUACCCGCGUAGUCCCUGUCUCUUAUAC
rnacentral:rRNA from 1 species